AGAAUGAACGCUAGCGAUAUGCUUAACACAUGCAAGUUGAACGUUGUUUUCGAAUCAGAAUGAGAACAAAGUAGCGAACGGGUGCGUAACACGUGGGAAUCUGCCGAACAGUUUGGGCCAAAUCCCGAAUGAAUAAAAGCUAAAAAGCGCUGUUUGAUGAGCCCACGUAGUAUUAGGUAGUUGGUUAGGUAAAAGCUGACCAAGCCUACGAUGCUUAGCUGGUCUUUUCGGAUGAUCAGCCACACUGGGACUGAGACACGGCCCAGACUCCUAAGGGAGGCAGCAGUGGGGAAUCUUGGACAAUGGGCGAAAGCCUGAUCCGGCAAUAUGGCGUGAGUGAAGAAGGGCAACGCAGCUUGUAAAGCUCUUUCAUCGAGUGUGCGAUUGUGACAAGACUCGAAUAAGGAACGCCCCGGCUAACCUCCGCGCCAGCAGCCGC
rnacentral:rRNA from 1 species